rnacentral:rRNA from 1 species
GACAGCCAGGAUGUUGGCUUAGAAGCAGCCAUCAUUUAAAGAAAGCGUAAUAGCUCACUGGUCGAGUCGGCCUGCGCGGAAGAUGUAACGGGGCUAAACCAUGCACCGAAGCUGCGGCAGCGACACUCAGGUGUUGUUGGGUAGGGGAGCGUUCUGUAAGCCUGUGAAGGUGGCCUGUGAGGGCUGCUGGAGGUAUCAGAAGUGCGAAUGCUGACAUAAGUAACGAUAAAGCGGGUGAAAAGCCCGCUCGCCGGAAGACCAA